rnacentral:tRNA from 1 species
GGGGAUGUAGCUCAGUGGCACAGCGCCUGCCUGGCAAGCACAAGGUCCUGAGUUCGAUCCCCAGUACCA